GAGAGGGUCCAGUUCACGGUGGAGAUUUUUCUAGAAAUGAUCCACGUUCAUAAACGCGCCACGUCAUAACUUAACCCACUAAACCCAAACCACACUUAACUACGCUUAAACUAGAGACUCUUUUAACUUAACCUGAUCCUUCAGCUACCCAAAAAAGCAAAUAACUCCCUCUUCCUUCAGAUCUUUCUCUACCCAAAAUUCAAAAACUCUCUCUCACCAUUGCUCAAUCUCCAUGGUUACAGCUAGCAGCCACUGCGUCCUACACCUUCACUACCGGCGGAGUUCCGGUACAUUCCUGUCUCUCUCCUUCGGCCGCUGGAGGUGUUAUCGUCGGUGCCACCACCAUUGGUGGCCGUCGGGUGUUAGAAGUUGACAGUAAGAAUGUAAAAGCUCUGUACAGGAGAGCACAAGCAUACAUACAACUUGUUGAUUUGGAUCUGGCAGAACAGGAUAUCAAAAAGGCUCUUGAGAUAGACCCAGACAACAGGAUGUUGGUUGUGUUGUCAGGGAUGUGAAGCUGGAGUCCAAGAUUUUGAAGGAGAAAGUGAGAGAGUAUGACAAGAAGAAUGCCCAGUUUUAUGGCAGCAUCUUUGCAAAGAUGAACAAAUUAGAGCAAGCAAGAUCAGCAAAUACACCGCAAAAGCAGGAGCCAGUGCCAAUGAUAAUUGACAGCAAGGUCUAAACAGCUACAGUUUAAGAAUUGAGGUUGUGGUUUUUUUUUUUUUUUUUUUUGAGAAACAAUUGAGGUUGUGUUAGAUUCAGUGAACAGUUAUGGAAUGUAGAUUAGUGGAGUGGUACCAAAUUAACCAGUGAGAUGUAUUAUCCUUCUAAUAAAAGUGGUCAUUUUAUGCUUGCAAUGGUCUACUUGCAUUAUCAGUUUGUCACUGUCCUCACUACAAUAUAAGAAUUGAGGUUGUGUUGGAUGUGUUGAAGCCUGGUUUACCCUUUGCCUGAACAUUGUUCUUGUUAGAAAGCACCUGAUGUCCCUUGUUUGU